AGCAGUCGCCGCGGUAAUACGUAGGGUGCAAGCGUUAAUCGGAAUUACUGGGCGUAAAGCGUGCGCAGGCGGUUAUAUAAGACAGAUGUGAAAUCCCCGGGCUCAACCUGGGAACUGCAUUUGUGACUGUAUAGCUAGAGUACGGCAGAGGGGGAUGGAAUUCCGCGUGUAGCAGUGAAAUGCGUAGAUAUGCGGAGGAACACCGAUGGCGAAGGCAAUCCCCUGGGCCUGUACUGACGCUCAUGCACGAAAGCGUGGGGAGCAAACAGGAUUAGAUACCCGUGUAGUCCCUGUCUCUUAUAA
rnacentral:rRNA from 1 species